UCAGUGUCUCCCGAAGAAAAUGGGAGACGCUGAGACCGUCUCGAGACGAACCGUCUCCUAGUGUGGACUAGGCUUAAAACUGUUUUUUUUAGCUUCUUUCACACGGCAGUGAAUAACAACAUCAACUACCAGAUGCAGGCCAUCAGCUGCUGCACCAACAGCUAUUGUUAUUCCCCCACCGCAGUAACAGCAGCGAUAUCGUCAUCACCACAAUGGUGGGGGCCGAAGAUAUCAUCCUAAUCAUCAUCGGGGUGCAUUGGUUGGAUCUAACCAUCAACACCAGAAAACGGCCAUCGCAUUUGCAACAACAGUAAGCGUUCAGCAAAAAACAGGACAAACAAGGAUCAUCCGGCGUUAAUUGCCAAACGAGAAGCAGCAACAAGCAGCCACACGGGAAGACGUAAAAUUCAAACUAGGAAAAGCAGAAAUAACGAUCCAGUACUUACCGGAAAGUUUAAAUUAAGCUCUAUCUUCUAUGGAAAUCCCGCAUAUUGUCAAGUUCUAUAGAAAGUAUUAUCGAAGCCGGUCCGCUGCAAGAUUCUCGGAAAAUUCCAAAAGCUAUACCCAAAAAUCAAGCGAUCGCUGUCUGUACGCUUGUUUUCAUUAAUAUUCUUAAAAUUAUUGUCAUAUU